rnacentral:rRNA from 1 species
AGUGAACGCUGGCGGCGUGCCUAAUACAUGCAAGUCGAACGGAAUUUAAAAGAGCUUGCUCUUUUAAAUUUAGUGGCGCACGGGCGAGUAAUAUAUAGCUAAUCUGCCCCUUGCUGGAGGACAACAGUUAGAAAUGACUGCUAAUACUCCAUACUCCUUUUUACCAUAAGAUAAAUCGGGAAAGAAUUUCGGCAAGGGAUGAGACUAUAUCGUAUCAGCUAGUCGGUGGGGUAACGGCCUACCGAGGCUAUGACGCGUAACUGGUCUGAGAGGAUGAUCAGUCACAUUGGAACUGAGACACGGUCCAAACUCCUACGGGAGGCAGCAGUAGGGAAUAUUGCGCAAUGGGGGAAACCCUGACGCAGCAACGCCGCGUGGAGGAUGACACUUUUCGGAGCGUAAACUCCUUUUGUUAGGGAAGAAUAAGA